rnacentral:tRNA from 1 species
UCCCAAAUCGUCUAGUGGUAAGAUAGCCGCCUCUCACGCGGUUGACCCGGGUCCGAUUCCCGGUUUGGGAA